rnacentral:rRNA from 1 species
AGCGAACGCUGGCGGCAGGCCUAACACAUGCAAGUCGAACGGAUCCUUCGGGAUUAGUGGCGGACGGGUGCGUAACACGUGGGAACGUGCCCUUUGGUUCGGAACAACUCAGGGAAACUUGAGCUAAUACCGGAUGUGCCCUUCGGGGGAAAGAUUUAUCGCCAUUGGAGCGGCCCGCGUCUGAUUAGCUGGUUGGUGAGGUAAAGGCUAACCAAGGCGACGACCAGUAGCUGGUCUGAGAGGAUGAUCAGCCACAUUGGGACUGAGACACGGCCCAAACUCCUACGGGAGGCAGCAGUGGGGAAUCUUGCGCAAUGGGCGAAAGCCUGACGCAGCCAUGCCGCGUGAAUGAUGAAGGUCUUAGGAUUGUAAAAUUCUUUCCCCGGGGACGAUAAAGAAGGUACCCGGAGAAGAAGCCCCGGCUAACUUCGUGCCAGCAGCCGCCGUAA